AGAUUGAACGCUAGCGGGAUGCUUUACACAUGCAAGUCGAACGGCAGCGCGGACUUCGGUCUGGCGGCGAGUGGCGAACGGGUGAGUAAUAUAUCGGAACGUGCCCAGUAGCGGGGGAUAACUACGCGAAAGCGUGGCUAAUACCGCAUACGCCCUACGGGGGAAAGGGGGGAUUCUUCGGAACCUCUCACUAUUGGAGCGGCCGAUAUCAGAUUAGCUAGUUGGUGAGGUAAAGGCUCACCAAGGCGACGAUCUGUAGCUGGUUUGAGAGGACGACCAGCCACACUGGGACUGAGACACGGCCCAGACUCCUACGGGAGGCCAGCGAGUGGGAAUUUGGACAAGUGGGGGAACCCUGAUCCAGCCAUCCCGCGUGUCGCGAUGAACGGCCGUUCGGGUUAGGUUAAAGCGUACGUUUUUCGGACGUAA
rnacentral:rRNA from 1 species